AAAUCCUUAGCAUUCCUGGUAUUUCAAGCUGGAUUUUCAACAUUUCUCCCUCUCUCUCUUUCUGAUUAAUCUCUGUGUACAUCUGUUUCUGCAUUUAAGGGAGAAUAAUUCCUCUCCCUGACCUUGCAAAGAUGAUGUGACACACACGCGCGCGCACACACACACACACACACACACACACACACAUUGUAAUAUUAAUUAUGUCUCAGUAACACAGAUUUGCAUAUACAAGAAAAACAAAAUCUCUGACAUGCCCAGUUUAGGGUACAUAUGCAUAAUUUUUUUACUAAGUGGAUUGUUCACAAUUUUUGCUUUUAUAUCACAAAUGUUUUUAAUAGAGGUUUUUGGGUUUUUUUCUAUUACAGAAAGUAGUGUAUUUUUUCGCUUUUAUGAGUAACUUUCUACAGCUUUUAUGAUGCCCCCCUGGUCAGAAGCACACGCAGCUGAUAGCAGCAAUCAGUGCACCAACAAAUAACCAUGAUUCACAGCAUCUUUCAUGUUAGGGCUCACAGAUAAAUUCCCAGCACUUAGUAGAAAAUGCUUGUAAAAGGCAACUUCAUCAUUUCAGGACCAGGUAUAUUUGUAUCUGAAGAGAAAACAGGGCACAAGAUGAGUAACUGCUCAUCUUUCUCUGAUGCCUCUCAAGGUAUGAGCACAAGUGAAAUUGGCUUUUUGUUUGCAGAAGGUUUUUGCAAACUCUCUGAUUUGUGAGCAGAGUAUACAGGGUAGCAAGGACAGAGCAAUGGAAGAAAAUGGAAUAAAGAAAUAUUCCUUUCAGAUUUGCUGAAUCAUAGCUGAGGAUAAUGCAGUGAUAGCACCAAAAAAGUAUUCAGUGUUAAAAUGGCAUCACUGUGAAUACUCUUUUCCUAUCCGAAAUAGCUGCAUUUACUGGCCAAACCACUUCUACAAAGAAACAUCCUUCUUACUUUGGUACAUGGUGCAUCAGUGUGAAAAACAGGAGCUAUCCAAGAAGAAGGACAUCUCUACUCUCUUCCUACUUGUUGAGGAUGGACAGCAGAGUAAAUAUAUAACAGAAUGCUGGCUUUUUAUCUCUGGAAAAACCACAGCUUUGGUGUAUCUUCACUUGUUCAGCCUGACUUCUCUGCCUGGGGGAGACACCUUCUCUUAUGACUUGGCACGGUGUGAGCCCAGCAGAUGGACAGAAGCAGCCAAAAGCCAGUGCUCUAUGUACAUUUAGGGUGUUUGCCAACAGCAGGAUUCUCAAACACGAAUUUUUAACCAGCUGUCCAUCCUAAAAUGAUAACUUUAUCUUUAAACUGAUACAACACUACUAAUUCAGCUUUGGGAUAUUUCUACUUCAAAAAUUAGUAACUGCCAAAGUGUGCAAGGAAAGCUUUCAUUUUGGCUUCGUUUGGGUUUCAUAUGUGUUUUUAUUCUGUGGGGCAUAUGAGCUGCAACAUGGAAAUAUACAUAAGACUUGAGUCUUUGGACACUGUGUCCUGGACAUUUUCUCCUGUUUGAUCCUGUGCAAAUAUCCCUUACUAAACACAGCUGAAACUGCUGGGACAUGUUUGGAAGCCAGGCCAAGUUGAAUGGUGUCAUUUCACCACAAAUAGACAUAUUCAUGCAGCAGACAAAGGCAGUUUAAAUUUCACUGUCCACCGAGGACAUCAACCCCUCCUAACUGUCAUAUUCAACAGGAUCAAGGGGGAUAAAAUGUUAGGAUUAUUCCCAAUUUCCUGAAGAUACUACAAAAAUCUAGCUGCUCCUCCCAAAGUCUUUUUGUCUUUUGAGUCAAAGUAUUGUGUACUGAGCCUGUUUGGUUCUGUCAAGAAGAGCAGGAGUUUUUUAUUCUCUUUAAACAUCUGUGAUAAAUAUUUGAUCUGUGACAUUCUGGUUCUGGGGAAUAUCACCAACAGGGAUGCUAAAAAAAAUAUUUUGAUUGUAAGCAGAGUGCUGCUAAGCAUUUUUGGAAGAAGAGAUGCUUUUCAAAGAAGCACAGUUUCCACAGAAGGUAAUAAUUUAUGUGAUCAGAGGAGCUGUGACUUUUGUGCCCUGUAUUCUCAUCUUCUUGCUUCCAGUGCUUGGUGACACUUGUCCUGUCACCUACUCUCUUCCUACUCUGAUAUAAUCACUUAUGAAAUAUUGCAAUAAUUUUAAUUACCAUUUAAAGGAACUUGUUGAGAAUUAACUCUCAUUUACACAUGCUUUGGGGUUCUAGCUGGAAAAUGCUAGCAGAAUGGUGUACAGUGUUUGAUGAGAGUGAAUUCAUAUUUCUGUUUUCAUGGAAUGUUUGUCAUAACAGUCUAUCCACGAGGACUACUGAGAAGUAUAUUUUAUACCUGUAAUAUAAAUCAUGACUGGGUAAUACUAAGCCUACAGCACAGAAUAUUUCAAUAAAAAUUAAGAACAUUUGAUAACCUGGA
ensembl:lncRNA